rnacentral:lncRNA from 1 species
GCCGGCCGGCGGUGGCGCGGCCGGGCUGCGGGAGCGGGGGCGGCGCCUUCUCCGCCGGGCACGGGCGGGUUCGGGCGAGAUGGAGCCGUGAGCAGUGACUGAAGAGAGAGCUGCUGGCAUGGAAGUGAGCUGGGUUUGUCCGUGGGAACUGUGAGUAGGGGUUCAGAUUGCUGUCACAAUGGGAAAACAAGCAUGUUUCAAGGUGUAGCUUUCCAUCAGAACAUC